rnacentral:lncRNA from 1 species
AUAUAUAAAGUAUGCUGUAAUGACAGUCCAACAGAAGUUCUCCCUGAUCCGGUACCUGCGAAGGCCAUGAAAUACUAUAUAGUUUGUUUCUCAGCAGCUGUAUCAUGGUUCAAGAUCCAGCUAUUCAGGUUAUCUAGCUGAAGAAGUUCACAAGAAGAAAGGUUCCUUAUACCAUUUGGCUGUGUGGGAAACACAGCAAAAUUGACAGAAAGACCACCAUUUCGCUGAAAUUCUGCAGUUGGUCAGUGAAAAGAUAUCAGCUCAUUCAGAACAAUUCAUUAUUGUUAGGAAUCUACAAGAACAACCCAUUCAGAGUACAGCUGGAACAAGAGAAGUAAUCAGACUACGAAUUUGGAAUUUAUAGAGAACUUGAAAAUGAGAACGGAAACUACAAAUUAUAAUUUGAAGUGUCAGAAGGUAAUAAUAAUUUAAAUGGAACACUGGAUGAAGAGAACUCUCCCCAUCCCUCUCAGUAUUGCCAUCAGAUGUGAUUUUGACAUUUAAGAGAUAGAAAGUUAUGAAAAGAAAUAGUUGUUGAAAAGAAUAAAGCUUCAGCAUUUCCUCAGUGGGCUGUUUCAAAAUAAAUGGCAAAUGAAGUGAAAAGAAAAAUAGUUAAAAAUUAAAGUUCAUAAAAAGUCCAAAUUGGCAGUUCCUUAUUUUUGUACAGUCAUUACAGUCUUUAAAAUUCACGAGUGCUACUCAUAAGUAACCAAUAAUUUUUUUUGAAGCUUUAUUUACAAGAUGUUACCAAAAGUAAGCAAAUUACAAGAAUAUUAUUUAUAAAGUUCAACAUAGUGUUGAAUAUAGACUUAAAAUACAGAAUACUCCUCAUAAUUUAUUAAGUUCUGGAAAUUUUGUUUACUAUAACAGUAAAAAACAGGCGUGACAUAAAUAGAUAUGUAAUGUCAUCAACUUCAAUGAAAUUUUAUAGUAACAUUAAUAAAUCAUUAUAUGACAAAAAACUGUUAUUGUUUUAAUAGUAUGUAAAGAGCUGAAUUUAU